rnacentral:rRNA from 1 species
CAAGGUUGCAACGGGUAACGGGGAAUCAGGGUUCGAUUCCGGAGAGGGAGCCUGAGAAACGGCUACCACAUCCAAGGAAGGCAGCAGGCGCGCAAAUUACCCAAUCUAGACAGUAGGAGGUGGUGAAGAGAAGUACUUAGUGGUGGCCAAAUGGUCCCAACUAGGAAUGAACGUAAUUUAAGCAAUUCGAUGAGUAACUACUGGAGGGCAAGUCCUGGUGCCAGCAGCCGCGGUAAUUCCAGCUCCAGUGGCGUGAUUUAAAGUUGCUGCGUUUAAAACGCUCGUAGUUGGAUCACGCAGUGGCAUGUAGUAACACAAAUUUGGUCGACUGACGAUUUUCUUUCCAAGAUUAUUGAAUCUUGACCGGUUUUGUGUGUUAACGCUAUAUGUCACUAUUUGCACACAAGUAUGAUAUUUGGUCUUUAGUGAAUCGAGUAUCGUGUCUUGUGGAGUGUGCCUUGAAUAAAACAGAGUGCUCAAAGCAGGCGAACGCUUGAAUGUUAUAGCAUGGAACGAACAAACGUGUAUUUGCGUAUGUUUGAGCAGUUGAGGGCAACUUUGAUUGCUUGAGCGUACGCAGCACCCGCCAMAAUACGGAUGUUGGUUUUCGUAUCAGGUGAUGAUUAACAGGAGCGGUUGGGGGCAUUGGUAUUUGGCCGCGAGAGGUGAAAUUCUUGGACCGGYCAAGGACUAACAGAUGCGAAGGCGUUUGUCUAGACCGUUUCCAUUAAUCAAGAACGAAAGUGGGAGGUUCGAAGACGAUCAGAUACCGUCCUAGUUCCCACUAUAAACUAUGCCGACCUGGGAUCAGU